AUCACUUUAAACCUGUGCAAAUACACCAGGCUGGGCUCCCUUCACUGGGUCACUACCGAGAUAGGUAAGAGGGGCAUGGUAAGGCGUCCCAUGUUUCUCUUGUGACCUUUCCACUUGCUGGGGCUCCGGCAGACAAAGUUUCUCUGGACUUUGCCUUGUCCUCUUCGCACUCCCAGCACGGCGUCAGAGACUCAACUCUGUCUGACUUGCAACACUGCUUUUUUUCCACAGCAUUUCGUCAGAUUGCUGUAGCAACUCAGGCCUAUGCUGUCUCCCGAUCUCUCUUUGCCAAUCCCGUUGUGACACUGCGUCUUGGAGCAAUCUGUUCCUGUCCAUAAACAAUGGGCCUACUUGAAGUGGUUGUAUCCACAGCCUCUUGAGCUGCUAAAGCUGCAAAACGAUGUGUGGGGGAAGACAGUGUUUUGCAGGUGGCCUCAUACAUCUCAGGGUUAACCAGCUCAGACAGGGUUUUCACAAUCCAGCCAAGGACUUCAGGAGCCCCUGUGCAGCCUUCUGGCAACUCAGUCCACCAAAAUCCUUCUAACAGCCUGGAUCCCAACCACAACAUGUUCCAAACGUGCUGCUGAGGAAAAUCGUAUGCAUCGUGCCAUUUAAUACAAUUUUAACUCCAUUAUCCUUUAAAAAUGCAUCAUACAUGUCUACUGCUUGCAAAAGUUACCUGUAUUAUAUCAUUUGUAAAAUCUGUAAAUGAUGCUAUGGUUACAUAAAAAAAGAGAUUUACA